GAGGCGAAGCUAGUGAGGGAACCGGUGGUCGACCGGAUCCAGCGGAUGCCAGCCGCGCAAGAGGGAUCUAGCGCUCAAGGGAGCCAACGAGACGCGUGCGAGGCAACCGGCGGUCCAGGGGAUCCAGCCAAGGCGAGGCGUAUGAGGGGAUCCGACGCUCGAGCGGCUGCCUGGUCAGUUUGCUCAUCUUCCCUCCCCUUCUCUCUCAGGUCCUGAAGGCGGCAGCGGCAACGAGCCGGCAACGCCUCCGCUGAGGUUGCGGCGAUGGAACCCGCGUGGGGUGGUGCUGGGCGGGGCGAGGGUGCGGCAUGGGCCGCUGGCCUUUGGAACACAUAUCUACAUCCAUAGCUCUGGCGGCAACGGUGGCGGUAGAGCGGAUGACGUCUCAUCCUGCUCCUAGCCGGCGACGGUGGAUCAACGCCUAUUCUAAUUUAAUCCUCCUCUCUUCUUCUUGUACAGGGUACUCUUGUAGGGCAACCUGUUCUUCUCGAUGGUGCUCCAGCAACUGCAUAAUUCAGGCUGGAGGUGAUGGAGGGCACUGUACAAGAGGACAUUUGUAUGGGAACAACAAUACACCAGGUAAUGUUGUUGGCGAUGGUCAAUUGAUUUGAGCAUAUUUGGAGACUGGUAGGCGCGCGGCCAUACUGCCCGAGUCACCACCUGAGAGAGGAUCAGAGGAGAUGGGCAGAUGCUCUAGAGGAUUUUGUACAUAGAGCAACCUCCUCUUCAUCUAGCUGAUCUUUUCUCAAAAACUUGAGCGAUUGGACUUAUGCACUUGUCCCUUAGAGUCAAUGGCCACAGCCUCUUGCAUAUUCAGUGCCACUCUUCUUUCA